CGAAAAGUCCGUUAUCAAAUGACAAAAUUAAAAGCUCAACCACAUCAAUUGAAGGGACAACAACUGUGAUAUUCCUAACCUGGUUCAUGCAUUUUUGUACAUUGAAAAUGGUAGAUUAAACGUACUUUCAUAGCUAGUGAAACCUCUCUCUUGUAUGACAAUCGCAUAAAAUUCCAUCUUAUUGCCAACGAUGUGUUAAUACAACAAACAGACGAAAAAAGGAGCAAGAUAGCAGUCAACAUUGUGUUAUAAUCUUUAAUCACCAUUAAAGCAAACAAAUAUUUAACAAAUAAACACAAAAAGGCAUAAAUACAAAGCAUAUAAGCACAAAUGAAAGACAAAAAUACAAAAAAUUUACCAUAGCACCA
rnacentral:lncRNA from 1 species